rnacentral:pre_miRNA from 1 species
UUCGCAAUCCCGCCUGACACUCAGUCUCAACCUCUGAUGUUAGGAAGGUGAGCAAAGUCUCAGGUGUCAUUGCGGAAGUUACCAAAC